rnacentral:rRNA from 1 species
AUUGAACGCUGGCGGCAGGCCUAACACAUGCAAGUCGAGCGAGCGGCGGACGGGUGAGUAAUGUCUGGGAAACUGCCUGAUGGAGGGGGACAACGACGGGAAACUGUCGCUAAUACCGCGUACCAUAGGAUGAGCCCAAGUGGGAUUAGGUAGAUGGUGGGGUAAUGGCCUACCAAGCCGACGAUCUCUAGCUGGUCUGAGAGGAUGACCAGCCACACCGGGACUGAGACACGGCCCGGACUCCUACGGGAGGCAGCAGUGGGGAAUAUUGCGCAAUGGGGGCAACCCUGACGCAGCCAUGCCGCGUGAAUGAAGAAGGCCUUCGGGUUGUAAAGUUCUUUCGGUAGCGAGGCGUUAACUACAGAAGAAGCACCGGCUAACUCCGUGCCAGCAGCCGCGGUAAUAC